rnacentral:rRNA from 1 species
UACAGAGGUCUCAAGCGUUGUUCGGAUUCAUUGGGCGUAAAGGGUGCGUAGGCGGCGUGACUAGUCACUUGUGAAAUCUCCGGGCUUAACUCGGAAAGGUCAAGUGAUACUGUCGUGCUAGAGUACAGAAGGGGCAACUGGAAUUCUCGGUGUAGCGGUGAAAUGCGUAGAUAUCGAGAGGAACACCUGCGGCGAAGGCGGGUUGCUGGGCUGAUACUGACGCUGAUGCGCGAAAGCCAGGGGAGCGAACGGG